AUUGAACGCUGGCGGCAUGCCUUACACAUGCAAGUCGAACGGCAGCACGGGAGCAAUCCUGGUGGCGAGUGGCGAACGGGUGAGUAAUAUAUCGGAACGUGCCCAGUCGUGGGGAUAACGUAGCGAAAGUUACGCUAAUACCGCAUACGAUCUAAGGAUGAAAGCGGGGGAUCGCAAGACCUCGCGCGAUUGGAGCGGCCGAUAUCAGAUUAGGUAGUUGGUGAGGUAAAGGCUCACCAAGCCGACGAUCUGUAGCUGGUCUGAGAGGACGACCAGCCACACUGGGACUGAGACACGGCCCAGACUCCUACGGGAGGCAGCAGUGGGGGAAUUUUGGACAAUGGGCGCAAGCCUGAUCCAGCAAUGCCGCGUGCAGGAUGAAGGCC
rnacentral:rRNA from 1 species